AAUGAACGUUGGCGGCGUGGAUUAGGCAUGCAAGUCGAGCGAGAAGAGUUUGGUAGCUUGCUAUUGAACUCGGAAAGCGGCGAAAGGGAGAGUAACGCGUAGUUACGUGCCCCAGGGUUCGGAAUAGCCACGGGAAACUGUGGGUAAUGCCGAAUAACAUCUCCGGAUCAAAGGUGUGAUUCCGCCCUGGGAGCGGACUGCGUCCUACUAGCUAGUUGGCGGGGUAAUGGCCCACCAAGGCAACAAUGGGUAGCGGGUGUGAGAGCAUGACCCGUCUCACUGGGACUGAGACACUGCCCAGACACCUACGGGUGGCUGCAGUCGAGAACCUUCGGCAAUGGGCGAAAGCCUGACCGAGCGACGCCGCGUGCGGGAUGAAGGCCCUCGGGUUGUAAACCGCUGUCGUAGGGGGGGAAGGCUCCAUGAAGAAUGGGGUUUGACCUAUCCUAGGAGGAAGUACGGGCUAAGUUCGUGCCAGCCGCCGCAGUAA
rnacentral:rRNA from 1 species